CUAGCUUCAGCUACAUAUACUAACAUUGGAACGUUACAGAGAAGAUUAGCAUGGAUGACACGCAAAAUCGUAAAGCAUUCCACAUUUUU